AUUGAACGCUGGCGGCAGGCCUAACACAUGCAAGUCGAACGGUAACAGGAAUCAGCUUGCUGAUUUGCUGACGAGUGGCGGACGGGUGAGUAAUGUCUGGGAAACUGCCUGAUGGAGGGGGAUAACUACUGGGAACGGUAGCUAAUACCGCAUAACGUCGCAAGACCAAAGAGGGGGACCUUCGGGCCUCUUGCCAUCGGAUGUGCCCAGAUGGGAUUAGCUAGUAGGUGGGGUAAAGGCUCACCUAGGCGACGAUCCCUAGCUGGUCUGAGAGGGUGACCAGCCACACUGGAACUGAGACACGGUCCAGACUCCUACGGGAGGCAGCAGUGGGGAAUAUUGCACAAUGGGCGCAAGCCUGAUGCAGCCAUGCCGCGUGUAUGAAGAAGGCCUUCGGGUUGUAAAGUACUUUCAGCGGGGAGGAAGGGAGUAAAGUUAAUACCUUUGCUCAUUGACGUUACCCGCAGAAGAAGCACCGGCUAACUCCGUG
rnacentral:rRNA from 1 species